GACAGAGGGUGCAAACGUUGUCCGGAAUCACUGGGCGUAAAGCGCACGUAGGCGGCUUCUUAAGUCAGGGGUGAAAUCCUGGAGCUCAACUCCAGAACUGCCUUCGAUACUGAGAGUCUCGAGUCCGGGAGAGGUGAGUGGAACUGCGAGUGUAGAGGUGAAAUUCGUAGAUAUUCGCAAGAACACCAGUGGCGAAGGCGGCUCACUGGCCCGGUACUGACGCUGAGGUGCGAAAGCGUGGGGAGCAAACAGGG
rnacentral:rRNA from 1 species